rnacentral:lncRNA from 1 species
GGGUAAUCAAGGCCCUAAACGGAAAGUGUCAGGAUCUUGGGAUUAGGGGACUUGUCCAAAGUUACUCAACUAUGAAGAGUCAAGAUUCAAAUCCAGAGACAUCUGACUUCAUUUCCCUUCAUUAACAACCAUCUAAGGAAGUUCCUAUUACUUUGGGAACUCCUAGUAGCAGGUGGUUAAAAAAAACUCCUGGACAACAUACUAUGCUAUUUGAAUCAUCCUACUUCUUACGCGUUCCUCCAGGAUGCACUCUUCUCCCAUUCUGAAACUGACAGUUCUCUUUACAAACUGUGUAUGUUUCAUUCCUGGAUUGCAUCUGAGCUGCCGCCAUGGAACGGGCAUUGAGUUUUAGCGUGUGUGAUGUCCCAUGUGUUCAUUUUGUCUCCCCACACUAUAAACUUGAGAGGCAAGGCCAACUCUUUUAUGUCUUCAAAUGCUUUGCUGCCAAACACAG